GCGUGAAUGAUGAAGGCCUUAGGGUUGUAAAAUUCUUUCACCGGGGACGAUAAUGACGGUACCCGGAGAAGAAGCCCCGGCUAACUUCGUGCCAGCAGCCGCGGUAAUACGAAGGGGGCUAGCGUUGUUCGGAAUUACUGGGCGUAAAGCGCACGUAGGCGGAUCGAUUAGUUGGUGGUGAAAGCCCAGGGCUCAACCUUGGAACUGCCAUCAAUACUGUCGAUCUGGAGCAUAGUAGAGGUUAGUGGAAUUCCAAGUGUAGAGGUGAAAUUCGU
rnacentral:rRNA from 1 species